AGCGGCGGAGGGUGAGUAACACUUAGGAAUCUACCUAGUAGUGGGGGAUAGCUCGGGGAAACUCGAAUUAAUACCGCAUACGACCUACGGGAGAAAGGGGGCAACUCGUUGCUCUCGCUAUUAGAUGAGCCUAAGUCGGAUUAGCUAGUUGGUGGGGUAAAGGCCUACCAAGGCGACGAUCUGUAGCUGGUCUGAGAGGAUGAUCAGCCACACCGGGACUGAGACACGGCCCGGACUCCUACGGGAGGCAGCAGUGGGGAAUAUUGGACAAUGGGGGCAACCCUGAUCCAGCCAUGCCGCGUGUGUGAAGAAGGCCUUUUGGUUGUAAAGCACUUUAAGCAGUGAAGAAGACCUAACGGUUAAUACCCGUUAGCGAUGACAUUAGCUGCAGAAUAAGCACCGGCUAACUCUGUGCCAGCAGCCGCGGUAAUACAGAGGGUGCAAGCGUUAAUCGGAAUUACUGGGCGUAAAGCGAGCGUAGGUGGCUUGAUAAGUCAGAUGUGAAAUCCCCGGGCUUAACCUGGGAACUGCAUCUGAUACUGUUAGGCUAGAAUAGGUGAGAGGAAGGUAGAAUUCCAGGUGUAGCGGUGAAAUGCGUAGAGAUCUGGAGGAAUACCGAUGGCGAANGCAGCCUUCUGGCAUCAUAUUGACACUGANGUUCGAAAGCGUGGGUAGCAAACAGGAUUAGAUACCCUGGUAGUCCACGCCGA
rnacentral:rRNA from 1 species